GCAAGGCAUAUAGGCGUGGGUAGAUAGAAAGUAACUCGCAUUUGGAAGCUGUAGAGUUGAGCAAAUAGAACAGUGACUAAGACACCGUGUUAUGCUUGGAAGAUAUUUGGAAAAAGCAUGGUAACAUAGACCUGGUAUACACACACCACCUAAGACAAAGGAUUCAAGAGAGGUAAAUACUCUACAGAUUUUAGAUGUUUCUUUUAAAAGAUGAGUGUGGAGAAGAACAGGCAUACUUGAAAGAUGAAUAGAGUCUAGACAAUCAGGACUCUAACAAGGUUGAAAACAAACAAACAGAAAAGUGCUUUUAUAACUGUAAGAGCUGAUGUGUUCCCAUUAGGAACUUUCACUCAGAGUCAUACUCUACUUAUCUCAUAGAGAGAAAAUGUUGCCUUUCUAACCAAACCUACUCUUUAAAAUGUCUCGUGGAAUUAAUGACUGUGUUUAGAAAAUGGCAAAACAACAAAGAGUCACAAGGGUAACAGGCUAAUUGUCCAGAAAGGGUACUGGAUAUGAUUCCUAACAUGUCACUGACUGUGAGCAAACAGAGCAAAAGCCUUCUAUGUGUCUACGGAAGCCAUUGCCAAAGACUCAGCCUGGGUUACAAAGACCUGGGAUAUUUGACUUUGUUCUCAGAUUUCUACCAGUAGAGAAAGUGGAGCAUGAGAAAGCCCUCAGACAGAAAGAACUACUUACUCUUUGCACAUGACCGUGAAGAAAAGGAGACAAAGAAGACCCUUCAAAGGAUAGACUCAGAGGCCAAAUAGAAAACCAGCUGAGGGUUGACUUAUGAAAAGAACUAUUCAUCUCUGAGUUCUGGGUUUGAACUGGUGUAGGCUAUCUCCCACAAAGACCAGGAGAGAGAAGUGUGUCCUAUAGGAAGGAGGAAGAGCUGGGUGGAUAUCUGGAAACCAGGGUCCCGGAGAGAGCUGGCUGUCCACCAGAGUCCGUUCUCUCCUUGAUCUGGAUUUGAUAGAAAAUGUCCCCCACCAGCUCGUGUGUUUGAACACUUGGUCCGAGCUAGGAGAAUGCUUGUGGAGGUUGUGGAAUCCUUAGAAGGUGGAUCUACUGGAGAAAGUAGGUUGUAACAGUGUUCCCCUGAGUGCACGUUAUCUCCAGAUUCUCCUACUUGGCUUUCCCCGUUCCUGGACCACUGAGGUGUGAGGAGCCCUGCCACACACAGCUCCCACAAGGAACUCUUUCAUGCCGUCUCUGCAGUGAUGGGCUGAGUCCUCUCAAUCAACCCUCCCUUAAGUAGCGUCUUUGCAGGUGAUGGCCACAGAGACAAGAAAAGUGUGAGAAUUUAGAAGUCAGUUUAUGAUGUCUAUGCUGCUUUAUCAGCCAGCAGCCCUGAAAAUAAAACCAAAAACGAGACAGGAGGAAGACCCCACCACCACCACCACCGCUUUACAAUGCUCCCUUCGACUCCGCCUGCCACCCUACAUCCCCAUCAUGGAACCCUUGCCCUGGAUUGCUUAAGUUUCUGACAGGUGUGAUAACCUGACCAACUAGGGGAUUCGCAUGGAGAACAGAACUGCCAUUAGGGUCUUCCCUGUCCAUGGACGUCCUCUGUUCAAGUGAUGGCAGCACUCGUGAGACCUGUGAUUGAUGGCGUCACGUACCUGUACAUGCUGAAGACUGUGUUGCCAUUGUGCAUGAGGUACACGUACACUUCCUCCACAUCCUCGUGCUUCAUCAUGCUGAAGGUGAAGAAGUACACACCUGGGAAGGACAAGGAUUUACUCAUUCACUCAUACACUGAAGAUAAGUCAGAUGAUUUCACACACGGCUUGGUUGGAGUCUAUGUAUUGUGUGAUUUUGUGGCCUGUUCAUAUGAAUAUACUUUCGUCUACUCGCCUUAAAAGUACUUUGAUUUUUUUGUUUGUUCGUUUGUUUUUAUUUUUUCAAGACAGGGUUUCUCUGUGUAACCAUCCUGGCUGUCCUGGAAUUUGCUUUAUAGACCAGGCUGGCCUUGAACUCACUGAGAUUCUCCUGCCUCUGCCUCCCAAGUGCUGGGAUCAAAGGGGUGCGCCGUCACACCCAGUGCUUUGAUCAUCUUUAACUCAUUGUGUUUCCUAUUUAUACUUAGGAAGAUUAUAAAAACCAUUGAGAAAACUAGUCAAACAUGAAAUUAAAAUGGACAACCACAUUCCCCAAAUGUAGCCAUGGUGGUAGAAUAUUAAAGCAUAAGUCCCGUGGUUCUAAAUAAACAGUUCAGGUCAUUUCUCAUAUGACACAUUGUAAAUCAGUAAAAUAAUGUUUAAAUAAAAAUAUUCAACUUUAACCCUGCCACAACACCUUGUUAGUAAAAGUAUAUUCUUGCUGAUUUCCAUGUUUCAGGUUUUGAACUACUAGCUAUACAAGAGAAGAAAACAGAAAUAUCUACAAGAAAAAACUAAAGAAGCAAUGGGCCAUUCAUGUUUCUUUUCUAUAAAGAUAUCAGCUAUGAAGAUCCUUUUGAUGUUGAGUGACAAAAGAACAAUUAUGCUUUGUUACGUGUCGGGGAUGCAUAUUUGAUAGCAAUCAGUGAUGCCCAUUCCAAUACCUGGAGACUGGUUCAUAGAUGAAAAGCAAAGACAUGAAAAUUAAAGGAUUUCAAGAG